UUUUUUUUUUUUUUAUCUUUUAUUUAAUGAAUAUAAAUUCCAAAGUACGACUCAUGUGUUACAAUGGCUUCCCCCCCCAUACCGUCCCUCCCACCCACAAACCCUCCCCUUUCCCACUCCUUCUCCCCUUCCAUUCACAUCAAGAUUCAUUUUCGAUUAUCUUAAUAUACAGAAGAUCAGCUUAGUAUACCUUAAGUAAGUAUUUCAACAGUUUGCUCCCACACAGAAACAUAAAGUGAAAAAUAAUAGAUGAUUUUUUUAAAUGAUGAUGAAAUCAGAUCAGACCUAUUGUCAUGUUUAAUCUGGGUUCAUUUCUUAUCCUUGGAGUCCCUGUGAUGGGCUGGAGCUGAGUUAAUGAGACAGCCCCGGGACCCCGAGAGCUCACCUCCCAGGGGAGGCACAGAAAUCAAACAGCACACACACUGAGGGUUAGAAUAGCAUGGAGGAAAGGGAUGAGUGAGUCGGCAGUGGGGUGGCAGGGCCCAGGCAGGCCUCAGUGACUCAGCAGUAUUGGAGUAACGAUGCCGGGAAAGCCAGGUGGGUGUCUGGGUGUGCGCGUGGCAGAGCAAGGCAGGCCCAUGCCAAGGUCCUGCUGCAGGCAGGCAUGGGAUUGGGGGUGGGGGCACGGCAGGCUUGAGCAGAGAGGAGCGGGGCUGGAUGGAGCUGAGGUCAGAAGCCACAGGGGAGGAGGUGGCUGCAGAGAUCCGGGUGAGGGUGAGCAAGCGGUGGCUGUUGGGUACCACAUCUGACCAGAGUCCAGGCCAGUGGUACGUGAGUGGAGCACCCCAGGGCUGCGGCCUGAGCAGAUGGAAAGCCUGGAGGUGGGGGCCCCGGGAGGAGGACUUAUCGGGCUGCUCUGUGACAUGCAGGGGAGGGGGAGGGGCCUGAUCCAGGGCGUGGCUCAGAGGGGGCAGGGGCCAGGGCCCUGGGUGCUGUGUGCUGUGGGAAGUAGGGCACAGGGGAACCUAGGCUCAUGUCAGCAUUGCCUCCUCUGGGCGGGGGAGAAGAACCAGACCCUCCAGACUCUCAGGUGUUUGGCGUUGGUCAGUCAGCCCAGCUGUCACAACAGCACCCGCACACUGGGUCUUGAACAACUGACACUCACUGGCUCCCCAUGCCGGAGGCUGCAAGCUCAGGGUGGACACCUCUUGCGUUCAGGAUCCCUGACCCGGGGCUGAAGGCAGAGAGAGAGUUUGUUGGAAGCUCCUUGGAGAAGCGCCACAGGAAUCAGGGCGAAGGUGCUGUCAGGCCGAAGGAAGCGGUGAUCCGAGCGGCAGCCCGGUUCUUUCCUCAAAUUAAAUUACACAUCAUUUCCUUGUCCUUAAUAAAAUAAUUACUGCCUCCA
rnacentral:lncRNA from 1 species